rnacentral:rRNA from 1 species
CGUAGAGAUGCGGAGGAACACCGAUGGCGAAGGCAGCCCCCUGGGCUAACACUGACGCUCAGGCACGAAAGCGUGGGGAGCAAACAGGAUUAGAUACCCUGGUAGUCCACGCCCUAAACCAUGUCAACUGGGUGUUCGGGAAGCGAUUUCUGAGUACCGUAGCUAACGCGUGAAGUUGACCGCCUGGGGAGUACGGCCGCAAGGUUAAAACUCAAAGGAAUUGACGGGGACCCGCACAAGCGGUGGAUGAUGUGGAUUAAUUCGAUGCAACGCGAACAACCUUACCUACCCUUGACAUGUCUGGAAGGCCCCUGAGAGGGGGUUGUGCCCGAAAGGGAACCGGAACACAG